rnacentral:lncRNA from 1 species
GCUCCGGGUCCGCUUCCUGGUACAACUCGACAUCCAGGAAAAGCGCUCCGUAGUUUCUGCGCUCAAGGUCCACUACCAGCAGGAACUUGACUUCCAGGACAAGUGCUCCGUAGUUCUGGCUGUCCAGGCCCACUACCUGCAGGAACUAGACUUGCAGGUCAAGCGCUCCGUGUGUCCUGCGCUUCAGGACGAACGCUGCGUGGUUCCUGCGCUCCAGGUUCACUACCUGGUGAAACUCGACUUCCAGGACGAACGCUCCGUGGUUUCUGCGCACCAGGUCCGCUACCUGGUAAAACUCAACUUCCAGGACAAGCGCUCCGUAGCUUCUGCGCUCCAAGUCCACUACCUAAUGAAACUCGACUUCAGGGACAUGUGGUGAAUAAGGAGGAAGAGGACGAGGAUUUCUGCUCAGUAUAACCCGAGGUGAUUGGAGGUGGUUGGAGGUGGUCGGAGGUGAACGAGGAGGAGGACGAGGAAGACAAGGAGAACGAGUUGGACGACAAGGACGAGGAUUUGUGCUCGGUACAACCCGAGGUGGUUAUCGGUGGUUGUUC